CAACAGAGGGAGGCAAAGCCGCGAGGUGGAGCGAAUCCCUAAAAGCCGUCCCAGUUCGGAUUGCAGGCUGCAACCCGCCUGCAUGAAGUUGGAAUCGCUAGUAAUCGCGGAUCAGCAUGCCGCGGUGAAUACGUUCCCGGGCCUUGUACACACCGCCCGUCACACCAUGAGAGUCGGGGACACCCGAAGUCCGUAGUCUAACCGCAAGGGGACGCGGCCGAAGGUGGAUUCGAUAAUUGGGGUGAAGUCGUAACAAGGUAAC
rnacentral:rRNA from 1 species